UACACGACCGUACCGCAAACCGACACUGGUGCGCGAGAUGAGUAUUCUAAGGCGCUUGAGAGAACUCAGGAGAAGGAACUCGGCAAAUUGACACCGUAACUUCGGAAGAAGGUGUGCCUUUAGUAGGUGAACCAUUUACUUGGGGAGCCCAAUGAGGCUGCAAAAAAUCGGUGGCUGCAACUGUUUAUUAAAAACACAGCACUCUGCUAAGACGAAAGUCGACGUAUAGGGUGUGACGCCUGCCCGGUGCUGGAAGAUUAAAUGAUGGGGUGCAAGCUCUUGAUUGAAGUCCCAGUAAACGGCGGCCGUAACGAUAACGGUCCUAAGGUAGCGAAAUUCCUUGUCGGGUAAGUUCCGACCUGCACGAAUGGCGUAAUGAUGGCCACACUGUCUCCUCCUGAGACUCAGCGAAGUUGAAAUGUUUGUGAUGAUGCAAUCUCCCCGCGGAAAGACGGAAAGACCCCAUGAACCUUUACUGUAGCUUUGUAUUGGACUUUGAACAGAUCUGUGUAGGAUAGGUGGGAGGCUUUGAAGUGUGGUCGCUAGAUCGCAUGGAGCCAACGUUGAAAUACCACCCUGGUGUGUUUGAGGUUCUAACCUAGGUCCAUUAUCUGGAUCGGGGACAGUGCAUGGUAGGCAGUUUGACUGGGGCGGUCUCCUCCCAAAGUGUAACGGAGGAGUUCGAAGGUACGCUAGGUACGGUCGGACAUCGUGCUAAUAGUGCAAUGGCAUAAGCGUGCUUAACUGCGAGACUGACAAGUCGAGCAGAUGCGAAAGCAGGACAUAGUGAUCCGGUGGUUCUGUAUGGAAGGGCCAUCGCUCAACGGAUAAAAGGUACUCUGGGGAUAACAGGCUGAUACCGCCCAAGAAUUCAUAUCGACGGCGGUGUUUGGCACCUCGAUGUCGGCUCAUCUCAUCCUGGGGCUGUAGCCGGUCCCAAGGGUAUGGCUGUUCGCCAUUUAAAGAGGUACGUGAGCUGGGUUUAAAACGUCGUGAGACAGUUUGGUCCCUAUCUUCCGUGGGCGCUGCAGAUUUGAGGAAGCCUGCUCCUAGUACGAGAGGACCGGAGUGGACGAACCUCUGGUGUAUCGGUUGUCACGCCAGUGGCAUUGCCGAGUAGCUAAGUUCGGAAGAGAUAACCGCUGAAAGCAUCUAAGCGGGAAACUCGUUUCAAGAUUAGAUCUGCCGGGGCCUUGAGCCCCCUAAAGAGUCGUUCAAGACCAGGACGUUGAUAGGUCAGGUGUGGAAGC
rnacentral:rRNA from 1 species